CCUGAGCCCAGCCCUGAGGGGGGUGCUCAAGCCCCCUCAGCCCCCCCCCUAAAUACGCCUCUGCAAUGCUGGAACACUUGUGUUUUUCUGGAAAGUAGGUUGAGUUUGGAGGGCAGUUAGCUUCAAUCUUAUCAGAAAUAUAAUUUGGAAGGACAAAGAUCUAAAUUUAGUUGAUGGUGGUAAUGUGGAUUCUGGUAAAGCAGAUAUGAUGGAUUGAAACUAUCAAAGGUUAAUUAUUCUUUAUUAUUCUAUUAGGUAUGUGUUACUAAUUAUUGGUUGUGUACAUAUGUGGUAUUAUUCUAUAAUUGGUUGUAGAUCUAUAUGUGUAUCAUUAUUAUUUGAAUUAUUAGUUGUAUGUGCAUUAUUAAUUAUUAGUGGUGUAUAUAUUGUGUAUUGUAGUUUGACCUUAGACUAAUUUGUGCAACUAUGGUUUAUGUGAGGGAUGACAGUUUGGGCUUGCCCAGGUUGUCAUCUAACUAGGAACUCUCUAUGUCAUGUUUGUCAUGUGUGUGUCAUAUGACACUAACUGGUUCUAACUUGUUUGUGUCACAUGAUUUUAAAAUGAUAUAAAAGUGCCCAACCAUUUUUGGUGAGGGACAGCUGGUUUUAUGACCUUAAAGAUUCUUGUAGUUGGCGUAAGCCCGUGGGCGCGUGUGGAUCUCUUACAACAAUAAAAUUUGUUAGUGUAGAUACUGAUGCUGAAGUUGCAGAUACUAGUGAUAAUCAGCUAAACAUCAUAUAUGCAUUCUUAAUGAGGGGGUGGGGCUGAAAGUUUUUAGCUGAAAACUCCAAGGUUUUGCAUCAAAAGCCCCGAAAACUGCAAUGAUGUGCUUAAUACAAAAAUUAGCUAGUGCUACAGCAAGGUUGAAAGGUUGCUGCAACCAAUUUUUAUAUUUUGACAUAUUUUGAGUCUGGAUCUCCUAUGAUGAUAACAUAAGAGAGAAAGAAUAAAAAAAGCCCAAUGGAAUCUGGAGUACAUCUUUUUACUACAGAUUGCUAACUACUGGAAUGAGUAUGUUUAAUAGUUCACUUCCUGUUGAGAUACAAGCAGUAAAGAUGAACUAGAGCAAGUGGAGUUUGUCCCAUCCUCAAAGACACACAAUGAAAGAGACUGUACUACCAAGAGAAGAAGACAUGAUCCAAGGAGAAGAGCUGACUCUGUCAUCUUGUUUAAAAUAAUGCCAAUUGUUGGUAGAGUAUUCACAUCGCUAUCUGAUCUAUAGUACUACUCUUUAUAUGGUGUGAUAUUUUUUCAUACUAACUCAUGCAUUAGGAACAGUAGAUACCAAAAACACAGUCUAUGUAAGCUUAUUGAAGCAGAUGGACCUUCUUAAAAUAACACUAACUCAUAAAUAAUUAGGUGAUACAUUUAUUCUCAUCACAAUCCUCCUUCAUCUAGAGCCAAUACAUACA